AUGAGGUCAUGAGGGAGAGCGAGAGGAGAAAAGCUGGUCAGAUCAGUGGACUGAAGGUCUUGCGGGGCUUGGAAAAGUGAGGGCGUCAGACAUUGAGCUAGAGAGGCUGUGGUUGUAGAGAAGUGGGUGCUUGAAACGGCAGUUAAGGUUCAUGGUGAAAAAGAGCAGGGACAACCUGGGAUCAAACCCCAGCUCGGCUGCUGCUUAGCUGAGUGGUGCCUGUACCUCGCUUUCCUCUCCAUGUAUCCAUCUUUCAGAGUGGUCGUGUGGAUAUAAAAUACUAUAUGUACAGAACACUAAGCUCCACUGUGAAACUGAGGAUUUCCAACUCUGCUAGCUGUGUCAGAGCAAGCGAACUGCACUAACGAGCAUUGUGCCACAGUAUUUCCAGCCCUCACAAAUACGAGGGCAUACCUGAAGGAAAUGACUGAAGGCAAGGGCUCUGGAAUCAGAUGGCUUGAGUUUAAAGCUGCACUCUUUACUUGCUGGCCAAGUGACCUUGGACAAUGUACUGAAAUGACGUCUUCCUCAAAAACUGUAUCUGGAAAACGGGGACAAAUUAGUAUGCCAUUCAUAAGGCUUUUGUGAGGAUUCGAUGACAUAAUCUAUCCAAAGUAUGUAACUUGCAAAUGUAUUACUUUUGUUACUUGC